rnacentral:rRNA from 1 species
AGCAGCCGCGGUAAUUCCAGCUCCAAUAGCGUAUAUUAAAGUUGUUGCAGUUAAAAAGCUCGUAGUUGAAUUUCGGGACCAAUCUGCCGGUCGUGCCUCCGGUACGCACUGGUUUUAUUGGUUUCUCCCUUCUGACGAACCAUGAUGUCAUUAAUUUGGUGUCAUGGGGAAUCAGGACUGUUACUUUGAAAAAAUUAGAGUGUUUAUAGCAGGCUCACGCUUGAAUACAUUAGCAUGGAAUAAUGAAAUAGGACGUUUGACCCUAUUUUGUUGGUUUCUAGGAUCGACGUAAUGAUUAAUAGGGAUAGUUGGGGGCAUUAGUAUUCAAUUGUCAGAGGUGGAAUUCUUGGAUUUAUUGAAGACUAACUACUGCGAAAGCAUUUGCCAAGGAUGUUUUCAUUAAUCAAGAAUGAAAGUUAGGGGAUCGAAGACGAUCAGAUACCGUCGUAGUCUUAACCAUAAACUAUGCCGACUAGGGAUCGGAUGAUGUU